AUCAUUCAAAUAGAAACAGCCGCACUUGUUCAAUUUAAGAACCCAGUUUCAUAUUCUAAAUCUUCUCAAACACUGAUGCUAGCUUGGAAACCUUCUUGAGUUCCUUUUAUUCUCUUCAUAUAUAUAUAUAUAGAUAUAUAUUCUGAAAACGGAAAAAAGACAUGUCCAAGCGUUUUGAGCUCAUUGUCUUGCUCUUGGUGUUUGUUGUCACAUCUCAACAUGCAAUCAGUGUCGAACAACCCAUCAGGCCUAUAAUACUCCAACAAUAUCCACAAAGGUAUCCGAAGAUUUUUGCUACUCUCGGAAUGGUUUGCAAGUGUUGCGAUGGUGAUAGAGGAGAAUGCGAAAGCGCAUGGGAAGGGCGUUGCUCUAAGCUCCAAUGUCUUCCAUGGAAAUAUGAUUGAUUCGUAUCAUACAAAAUUUAGAAUUUGUACUCUGGCUGUUUAUAUAUAUAUAUAUGGAUCAAUUUUUAAUGGUCAUGUGUGAUAUUUUAAAGUGAA